rnacentral:sRNA from 1 species
GACAAAAUUGUCUUUUGUGAGACAAAAUUGUCUUUUGUGGAACAAAAUUGUCUUUUGUGAGACAAAAUUGAGACAAAAUUGAAUUUUGUCUCACAAAAGUCAAUUUUGUCCGUACAAGA